rnacentral:lncRNA from 1 species
UUCUUCCUCCUGGCCGUCUCGCUCCGCGAGUCCACGGCGGCUCAGCCACUGCUCACAGCCAUCACUAAGAACCCUUCCACCUCCCGCUACACGGCUCCCCUCAACGCCGGCCGCCCUCUAAUCCUCGACCUCAACACCGGAGCCGUCACCACGCCCUGCAGCGGCGGCCAGACGACGACACGCGUCACGCUCUCCGCGAACGCCACCGACGGCAGCCGCCCGCUGUCCC